AACGCAACUUGCGCUCUCUGGUAUUCCGGAGAGCAUGCCUGUUUGAGUAUCAUGAAAUCUCAACCAUUAGGGUUUCUUAAUGGCUUGGAAUUGGGUGUUGCCAGUCCCCUGGCUCGCCUUGAAAGAGUUAGCGUGUUUAACUUGUCUAUCUGGCGUAAUAAGUUUCGCUGGUGUCGGCUUGAGAAGUACGCUUCUAAUCGUCUUCGGACAAUUCUUGAACUCUGGUCUCAAAUCAGGUAGGGCUACCCGCUGAACUUAA
rnacentral:misc_RNA from 1 species